rnacentral:rRNA from 1 species
GACAAAGGUGCCGAGCGUUAGGCGGAAUCACUGGGCUUAAAGCGUGUGUAGGCGGAUCGUUAAGUACCUUGUGAAAUCCCACGGCUCAACCGUGGAACUGCUGGGUAUACUGGCGAUCUUGAGCCACCUAGGGGCGAGCGGAACAAGCGGUGGAGCGGUGAAAUGCGUAGAUAUCGCUUGGAACGCCGACGGUGAAAACAGCUCGCUGGGGGUGUGCUGACGCUGAGACACGAAAGCCAGGGGAGCGAACGGG